GGAAGAGAUUAGGCUGCCGCAUAGACGUGUGAUCAAGUUUUGUUGCUGGUAACAGAUCUAUUCAGCUCCUACUUACUUACAAUGACCGAUUGAAUUUCAAGGAAAGUGCUCGAGUGUGAACGGGCAGAAUGAGUGGGGGCAGGGUGAAGACACAGACAGUCCACCGUAAGGUUGGCAUAAGGACAGGGAAAACCUGAUCAGCAUUCCUAAUCAACGCUUGAUGGAUGUGGGCCCUUGUCUGCAAGACUACAGAAUGGCCAGAGGUGAAGUAGGAUUAUUGAAACAACAAUUUCCCAGCUUUCUGUUCAUGUUUCUUCCAAUCAAGGGAGUGAUGGAAUCCCCUGUGAAAAAUUAGGUUAAUGG